GGUGCUUGAACACUGGCAGCAUCCUAAGCAGAGCGUCCAGCUUCUUCAAGGCCUUGCUACUGUCUUGUGCACAGGAGACACUUGCCCGAGACUGGACAGGACCCACUUCUCACUGCUGCUCUGCCUCAGUGUCCCAUUCUCCAUUUUGAUUUGUUUUUGAAAGUGUCGACCACAGUAUUUGCAAGUGGACUUGGAUUUCUGUACCAGGAAUUGAUGGGGAUUCCUUUUCUUGCGGAUGGGUCGAAGGUCUUGUUGCCGUGUUUCUUCUUGUUGCCACUGAGUGAUCUCAGCUCAUCGUGCCAUCACGGAUGUCAGCUUCCACAUAUUGUACUGCUCUGAUGUGUCCAGAGGCUUUUGGUCUCUCGAACUCAAUAAAGGACUCACGGACCACGAAGAAAGGACAAGCAGACAGCAAGGCUUAUUGGGAAAGGAAAAGAAAGCACCUGGCCCAGCAGGCUGGCUCUGGAGUGAGUCGCUGUGGAGUGAACUAUGUCUAGGAGCUCUUAUCAGAGGUUAGGUACUUGGCAUGUCUGCAUCUCCAUGUUCUGAAUGGACCAUCCAGGGACUGGUCCUAACUCUUAAGUCAAAUCAUAAACACAGUAUGCUCUCCUCUUGCCUGCAUCGUGCCUGGGCAUGGACAGGGAAGUACACAAGCAAAGAUCUGCAAGGAGGCUUGGGUUUGCUGACUUUGGAGUUUAGAAUCAGUCAAGGGGCUCUGUUGUCUGCAGAUGUAAGAGCGGAUGGUCUCAGGCUCUUGGGAUCACCCUUCCAGCUAUCCUGGCACUUCCAAUGCUUCUUGCCACUCAGAACUUUUCCCCUCAUUCUGCCUGAAGACCGUUCUCUUAUCUCUCAGUAUUAUAUAUUAAUACAUGGGGAGUCCCUGGGUGAUUAAGUUAUAGACUGCCAGGUGAAAGAUGGGUGGUUUAAGUCCACUCAUAAAGUCCUCUGAAAACAGGUUUGAUGAUGUGCUUCCCACAGAUGACAGCCUUGAAAACCCUGUAGAGCACCAUUCUCUGCAUAUUUUGGGUCUCCAUGAAUCGAAAUCAACUUGAAAGCAACUAACAACAAAACAUAUUACCAAAACCCAAACCAAAUUCACUAAUGCUGUUCAU